UAUGUAGGGACCGAGCGUUGUCCGGAAUCAUUGGGCGUAAAGAGCGUGUAGGCGGCCUUUUAAGUCCUGCGUGAAAUCCUGCGGCUCAACCGCAGACGGUCGUGGGAAACUGGAAGGCUAGAGUGCGGGAGAGGAGAGUGGAAUUCCCGGUGUAGCGGUGAAAUGCGCAGAUAUCGGGAAGAACACCCGUGGCGAAGGCGGCUCUCUGGAACGCAACUGACGCUGAGACGCGAAAGCGUGGGGAGCAAACGGG
rnacentral:rRNA from 1 species